GAGGAAUUUAUAAACGGAAGUGGAAAAGCGGAUGUUGUGACUAAUGAGUCCGGAAGCGAAUUAUUCAUUGAAAGUUGAAAUAUUACAAACAUUCUGAAACAGGUUGGUAGGAAUUCACGUCUAACAUAAGACUUUGCAUUUCGCAUCAAUAGAAAAGAGUAUCUUUACCAAAUAGUUCAAGCAAUUGUAUACUAUUUUAUCCUGAAAACUGCACUGUGUCUGUGUAGCAAAGCAUUUCAUUUUCAACCAUUUGUCUGGACUGCUAGAAAAAAAUCAGGCUAUUAUUUUAAUAGUAUAAAGGUGUUAAUACAUAUUUAUAAAAUGAGCAUUCCUAAUUUCGCUCUGUGUCCCUGUGACAAAAUGUAGGGUAGUUGAAACAAAUAUAUUUUAGGUACCGCCCUCAUUACCAGUCUGCACCAAAAACUUUUUCAAAUACUUUGUCCAAAGACCAAUAUUCUGACAUUUUUCUUUAGGGCCAAACGAAGUUUUGCAAAAACUCACUAGCCGGAAUGAAAUUUUACUAAUCUGGGCCAUCAGACUAGUGGCUAACCGUGCAGACUGCAUUAUGCUUGCAUGGCUAGGGCAGUAGACUCCUACUCCUAGCUGCAAAACUAUAGCUCUUAUCUGUAUCGUUUCCUCGAAAUUACUAAUACUAGCUCUAACUCGUAGGGAGAGAGGACACCUAUUGAUAGCAUUGGAGAGCUGUUUUGAAGUUUUCAACUGACUGUGCGCACCAAGGGUCCGGAAACGGUCAUAUAUGCCAGACAUGACCGAUUCGGAAACUCAAAGUCCUAAAUCAUUUAUUGGAUUUAGGCAAAUUUAUUUUUCAACAGAAAAUAAUUUCGGUCAUUUCGUUGAGAUUGAGUUUCAAAUCAUUUUAAAACAUAUUUUUGUGUUGUUAUCAAUUUUAUGUAAUUAAACUGCCACUCCAGUAAAGUGUAUAAUCCUGAGGGCCCUCCUAAAUAACUAUAUUAAUGCCUCGGGAGCUAUGGCUUAAUGAUCGCUAUCUCUUUACCUGUGUUUUUUAGUUCACACCUGGCUAUUAAUCACAAGCUCCAACAAUAUUAUAAAGAAAUUAAAAUUCUAUACCAACUGUCUUAUUAUUUAAUUACUUUUCAGCUAAAGACACAUUGUCAAUAAUGAUUUAAAAUUAAAUUAAAACUUGAUUGAAUUUACGUAGAAAAAAGAUUUUUUUCACUACUAACACAGGUGCUUUGUUUACUAUAAUACGCAUGCCUGAAAUUCUCUUCCGCAGAUUUGACACUAAAUCGUAAAUUUAAAAUGAUUUCUUGCUAAAUAAAGCAAUGCAACUAUUUUCAGUAAAUAUUCUUACACUAUUAAAGCGUUAAAAUAUUAAAAAAACGAUGUUUUCCUGUGAAUUGACAAACAAAAUAAUCCGGAAAUAAGUCCGGAAUUGUUCGUUUAGUAUUUCGCAUUACAUCGGUUUGACUUCAGAAUCGAAAGAAACGUAAAUCGAUGACUGAGAAAAUUACGCUUUUGAGUCAUUAAAAUCAUUUUAUUAAACUGUUGCCUUCCUUAACUGCUUUGAUCGAUUUUAGGAAAAUGGUAGGAUAAAUCAUGAAGUAAACGCGAUGCAACAGUGAAACAAGUUCGUUGAUGCUACGAGUAUAAGCAUACUCAUGCAGUAAUGAGAUUUUGACAAUCUUUUUGAAAAGGGGCACAACUUUUAUGUUAUAUGAAAAUGACCGAAAUUAGGUGAAAAAAUUUCCGAAUCCUUGGUGCGCACACUACAUAUAAGUCUUUUUCGAAAUGGUUCCAUUGACGUACAUGUACAUUUUUUUUCGAAAUGGUUCCAUUGACGAAGAAAUUGCUCAGUUUUGCAGUUUGUUGUUUCAGUUGCCUUUGAGUUGUUUUUGGAAAGUUUGCAAUAGCUUGCUAUAGCAAUAAACUUUCUUAAGUCAUCGGCCUCUAACUGGAAGUGACAGGUUAUCUUACUUUAGGAAGUGUGUCCUACUUCUAGAUAAUGUAGUACUGGUGUUUGAAAACUAAUAAUAGAAAGAUGCUUUUGAAAGUUUGAGCUUUCCUAUUCUGAUACAGCUUGAAUUAAAAUAUACUGAAUUUUUAUCGAUAAAUCAAACAAUUCAACUUCAUUUUGAAAAUGGAGAACAAAUAAUACUUCGCAGAUCUGCGCUUCGGGGAUAAUAUAAUCAAUACACACACGAGACAGCAGUUUCUACAUUAUGCUUUUAUCGGUAUUCUCCAGACAUGCGUCAGAUCCGUAUAUGUGUGCCUCUAGACGGGAGUACUAUAAAAAAAAUCCCAAUUUCAAAGGUUUCCUACCUUCCUCUGGUUGAAUAGAAAAUUAAUACCGUGUUUAAAAUAUUUCAUGAAUGAACAUUUUUCGACGCUAAUUACGAUUUUUACAAAUGUUUAUUCAAAAGCAAGAGAGUAUCAAAAGUAUUAUGGUAUCUCGGCCCACAACAACCUCGGACUAUAAUAAACUCAGCCUUUUUAAAAGGCCCUUUUACAUAUUCGGCAUUACAAAAUGGGAUUAUAACAAAUUUCGUAAUUAUACUACUUGCUAUUAAGGCUCAUAAAAAAAGUUUUUGCUCAGUUCUUAUUAUUUUUCUUCUUGGGGUCUAUAAAGGUGUAUUUUGAGGGGCCAACAGAAGGGAGUAAAUUACUAUAGAAUCCUAUGGGAUUUUUUUUUCAAAUUUUCAAAUAACCAUAACUUGUAAACAGUAAGUGACGGACACACAUGGUUUUCAGAAAUGUUCACAGGACCAUAAAAUAGAUCAAAUUAAAUUUAGGUUGAGUCCAUGGGGUCAAACAACCCAACCCCUCAUGUUUGAGAACUUAAAAACAGUCAUGAUCCCCACCCCAUACGGUACAAUAAAACAAAUCAAAUGAAAUAAAAGGUGAGUCCCCUGGGGUCACCCCCACCCCCUUGUUUGAGAACUUGUAAACAGUUGAGAUCCCCACCCAUAAACCAUAUAUAUUUUUGUAUGGGACAAUAAAAUAAAUCAAAUGCAAUAAAGAAGAAGUCCACCAGGGUGACCCCCCCCCCCCCUUCUUUUUGAAAACUAGUAAACGGUUGAUAUCCAUACCCCUAAAUCAUAUAUAUUCUUUUAUGGGGCAAUUGUUUGUUCAAAUAAAACGAAUAAAAUAAAAUAUAAGGAGAGUCCCUCAGUGUCACCCAACCCCAUCCUGUUUUGAGAACUUGUAAACAGUCAAGAUCCAGCCCUUCUUUUCGAAAACUGAAAAAUGUCGAAAUCCCCACACUGAAACCAAAUAUUCUUGUACAGAAUAAUAAAACAAAUCAAAUGAAAUAAAAAGCGAGUCCCCUGGGGUCACUCCCACCCCCUUGUUGUUUGAGAACUUGUAAACAGUUGAGAUCCCCACCCAUAAACCAUAUAUAUUUUAUUCAAGAUCUCCCAAAAAAAGGUAUGGUUUGUCAUUUGAGAAAUAACUGUAUUUACAAAGUGUAACCUACAGGCUCCCCUAGAUGUUUUUUGCAUUUCACUAAUCAUUAAUGUUUUCAUAAUAUAAUCUUUUUCAGAAUAAAGACACAAUGGCAUUGAAUGCCCCACAAAUGGGGACACUUCAAGUCCGUUGGGAUCCAAAGAAUUUGGAAAUCAAAACAAAGUCUGUAGAAAAAACUCUAGAACCAUUAGUUACACAGGUAAAAUUGUCUUUUAGGAACAUAUGAGACUUUUGUACAUUCAAGAAUGUAAUAAAACAUAAAUUAUUGGUGGUUAAUAGUCUUAUAGAUAAGAAGAUGUGGUAUGAGUGCCAAUGAGACAACUCUCCAUCCAAGUCACAAUUUAUAAAAGUAACCAAUUGUAGGUCAAUGUGCGGCCUUCAACAUGGAGCCUUGGCUCAAUUUAGUGCCUAGUGGUAGAAAAAAAAUCAUCAAUCUGUUACAAAAAAAAUGGCAAAGCAUGCUGAUUAAAUACAGACAGUUUACUUUAUUUAAGGUUGUCAACUUAGCUGCAUUAAAUUCAUAAUUGUUAGUUUUACAACUUUGCAUAGAAUCUUUUUUUAAACUACAGAAAAGAUGGUUCAUCAGGCUUCAUACUGAUGUUCUCACGUAUGUGACUAUUGACGUUAUAGAAUUGUUUAUAAAUAUCUCAAAAAUUUCAGGUUACAACACUUGUCAAUCAGAAAUCCCCAUCUAAUAAAAAGAAAGGAAGGUCAAAGAAAGCUCAUGUCUUGAGUGCUGCUGUACAGAAGGCAACAGAAAACUUUAUCAUUGCUGGAGAAACAAUUGCCAAUGAAAAUCCAGACAUCAGAAAUGAUAUGCUGGAUGCUGUAGAUGAAGUCAAGAAAACAGGUACAUUUUUUGUCUUGAAUUUAUAGUACCUGAGGAUAAAAUACCUUGAUCCAGACAUUACAUCUUCCUUAUUUCAACCUGACCGUUUGCAGGCUUUUACAUUUGUAAAUCAUUGUCAAUUCCUAAUUUAAACAAAUGAAAUUAAAAAUACUGGAAGCAAAAAAUGAAGUGAGCUAAUUCUCAACUUGUUAAUGAUAUUUAAUUGACAUAUAAAAGUAAGGAGAUGUGGUAAGUUUGGCAAUGAGACAACUAUCCACCAAAGUUCAAUUGAACUGGUUGUAAGUAAUUAUUGGUAACUAUGGCCUCAAAAAAUAAAAAAAUAAAACCAUACCAUUUUAUCUGUUAUAAAAGGCUGUGACAUGAAAAAAAUGAGACAAUUCAGUUAAGGAACUUCAGUUCAGUUAACAAAACAAUAUCAGUACCACUCACUCCUAUGACAUUUUUCACUAAGGUCAAUAAAAUUGAAAGGCUAUAUGAGUACCCAUGACAUCUAUGUCAUGUGUGUUUUAGCCUCCAACUGAAAAUUAGUAGACACAACAGAAGAUUGUUUAUUAUUUCAGGUGAUGCAAUGACAGAGGCAUCACAAGACUUUGCUGCUGAUCCUUGUUCUCUAGCUAAACGAGGUGCUAUGGUUCGUGCUGCACGUGCAUUACUGUCUGCCGUCACACGACUAAUGAUUUUGGCUGAUAUGGUUGAUGUACAUUUACUGUUGAAGACUUUAAAUCUGGUAAACAUUCUAUUUGGUACAUCUUACAGAUCCAAAAAUAGAAAUAAAGACAUUUCUGAGAAUAAAAAAAAUCUAAUUUAAAACAAUGGUUUAUGUAAAUGAUCACUGAUGGAAGUGGAAGUUAUUCUCAUAUUUUUGAUAGUCCUUGCUUUGAGUUAUAUGUGCUUUGUUCAAAAUAUAGUAGGUUGGAAUAAAGUUGUUACAAACUAUUACAUUAAAAACCAGUUGAGGUUCUUUAAUAAUGCUUUAUAAGCCAUUUUCUAAUUAUAUUUCUGAUGCCAUUGUUUAUUUUUUUAAUUAAAAGAUGAUUUUUUUAAAUGGAAAAUUAAAAAAAGAUUAUUAAUUGUAUUACUGUAAAAUGUGUUUUCUUAAGGGCAUAUGAUACAAUUACAGGGGAGGUAAUGACGUUGCUAACGUAAAAUGUUAUUUUCGCGACGUCAAACUAUGACAUAUCGGGAAAAGAUGCCAUUUUUUCGACUGAUUUUUAUCUUAACUGAUUUAUUUGAAACGAGUGCAUGGACCCCUAUUUUUAAAACGGCAAUUUGGUUUCAUUUUGCAAGGAGAUUAUGUGACCCAAAUUUUAUAAAACUGUAAAUAGAGGAUUUUUUUUAAUUUUGAUAAACAUGCAGCAAAAAAUGACGUUUGUUCCUCUAUUCAUGAACAUUUGAUAAAUAUAGCUUAUUCUUAUAAAAUUGCAUAAUUUAAUGAUACUUAUAAAUACAGAAAUUACGAUUAUUAACAAAAAAACAUGUGUUUAUCUUUUUAAAACAAAAAAGUUAUGUCUAUCUUUCGAAAAGAAAACGGACACAAUCUGAAUUUGAGCAAUAUCAAAUUUCGACCUCAUUUUACUCAAAAAGUAGACAUGAAGGUAUAUUUUUUUAUUAAUAUUUGAUUAUCAGGUAAAUAGCUAUAUGCAAAUUUUCAUCAACUGUAAAUACAGGUUCAAAACUGUAUCGUAUGCCCUUAAUGAAUACAUGUAACAUUAAAGCUAAACACAAAAAUCAAAAAUGAUGAUUUUAUGAUUUUUGUCUGAAAGAAAUUAACUUCUUUGAAAUGGAAGAAAGUGUCAGAUAUAGUAACUCUGCCUGUCACCCGGGUCAAAAAUCUGUACAUUAAGGUUAACAGUUUUGUUAAAUGGUCAUACUUUUUAAUUAAGAAGGUCUUUUGAAAGAUCAUAUGAUUGAAUAUUGUAGAAAUAUUGCAGAAAUAUUAUCAUUAUGAUUAAGUUUUAAAAGUUUUAAGAUUUGUUUUCUUUAGGUUGAGGGUGACCUUGACAGGGUAUUAAAUGCCACAAGCCAGCAAGAUCUGAUGGCAACCUUUAAAGACUUAGGAGACAGUAUUAUGGAUCUGACAAAUAAAGCAGCACACAGACAAAAUGUAAGUCGAGUCAGAUUAUUGAUAGAAGUAAAGCAACAGAGACCAUGCCAUAAAAGAAUUGCAUAAUUUUUAUUAUUAUUUUAAAUGAUGUUUCUUUGCACUCAAAUAUAAAAUACUUUUCUGGUCAGAAAAUUUGUAAGACAUUAAUUGCAUUNNNNNNNNNNNNNNNNNNNNNNNNNNNNNNNNNNNNNNNNNNNNNNNNNNNNNNNNNNNNNNNNNNNNNNNNNNNNNNNNNNNNNNNNNNNNNNNNNNNNNNNNNNNNNNNNNNNNNNNNNNNNNNNNNNNNNNNNNNNNNNNNNNNNNNNNNNNNNNNNNNNNNNNNNNNNNNNNNNNNNNNNNNNNNNNNNNNNNNNNNNNNNNNNNNNNNNNNNNNNNNNNNNNNNNNNNNNNNNNNNNNNNNNNNNNNNNNNNNNNNNNNNNNNNNNNNNNNNNNNNNNNNNNNNNNNNNNNNNNNNNNNNNNNNNNNNNNNNNNNNNNNNNNNNNNNNNNNNNNNNNNNNNNNNNNNNNNNNNNNNNNNNNNNNNNNNNNNNNNNNNNNNNNNNNNNNNNNNNNNNNNNNNNNNNNNNNNNNNNNNNNNNNNNNNNNNNNNNNNNNNNNNNNNNNNNNNNNNNNNNNNNNNNNNNNNNNNNNNNNNNNNNNNNNNNNNNNNNNNNNNNNNNNNNNNNNNNNNNNNNNNNNNNNNNNNNNNNNNNNNNNNNNNNNNNNNNNNNNNNNNNNNNNNNNNNNNNNNNNNNNNNNNNNNNNNNNNNNNNNNNNNNNNNNNNNNNNNNNNNNNNNNNNNNNNNNNNNNNNNNNNNNNNNNNNNNNNNNNNNNNNNNNNNNNNNNNNNNNNNNNNNNNNNNNNNNNNNNNNNNNNNNNNNNNNNNNNNNNNNNNNNNNNNNNNNNNNNNNNNNNNNNNNNNNNNNNNNNNNNNNNNNNNNNNNNNNNNNNNNNNNNNNNNNNNNNNNNNNNNNNNNNNNNNNNNNNNNNNNNNNNNNNNNNNNNNNNNNNNNNNNNNNNNNNNNNNNNNNNNNNNNNNNNNNNNNNNNNNNNNNNNNNNNNNNNNNNNNNNNNNNNNNNNNNNNNNNNNNNNNNNNNNNNNNNNNNNNNNNNNNNNNNNNNNNNNNNNNNNNNNNNNNNNNNNNNNNNNNNNNNNNNNNNNNNNNNNNNNNNAACACUUAUGAACCAAAUCAACAAAUGGCGGCUACUGAACAUCAGACUCCUGACUUAGUACAGGUGCAAACAAAUGCAGCGGGUUUUUAAGUUUUAAUAGGUUUCAACUUUCAUCCUUAAUUAAAACAAUGCAUGUGUAACAUUACAACAUAUAAAAUGUAGAAAGACGCACUAUGAAAUAUAAAUUGAAAUGUAUUAAAACUCAAUAAAAAACAUAUUAACACAAGUGCACACACACUGAACGAAUACAUUUGAUCUAUGGCACAAUGCAAAUACAAAAUCAAUAAAAUAAGGGGUGAAUACAUAAAGACAACAACAGUAUACCGCUGUGAGAUAUUAAAUUAUUUCAGAAAGUCAACUAUGAAACUGACUAACAUAAUAUGUCCUGUCUAGUGUACUUAAUCAUACUUAAAAUUAUGUUACCUCAACCUACUGCCUGUAUCUAGUCUUCCUGACUUCCAUAUUGCUGUGAAUAAUAAACAUUGUCAAUAAACUUGGAAAAUCCUAUCAUGAAAAUUAAUAGUAUCAUCGUAUUUACAGGAGCAAUUUUUUGCGGAAGUAGUGUACCUGCUAGAAUUCCGAAUUCUUUUUAAAUUUUAUGACAGGAUAUCACAUCUCACAUUUGUACGGUGAUCAGAGGCGGGUUUAGGGGGGCAGGAGGCCCGCCCCCCCCCCCUUUUGAGAAAAAAAAUCAUAGUUGGUUGAUUAUAUAGGGAAUCACUGAAGCGUGACGGGAGCGGGCCCCCACUUAUGAAAAUUUCUAGAUCCGCCACUGGUGAUGUUGGCUAUAGUACCCGUAAAUAAAUUUACAUGCGAUCAUAUAUAAUUAUAAAUCUAUUGAUCUGUCUGUAUCUGUAUGUAUACGUUGAAGACACCAAUUCUGGCUUUUACUCAACGGGAGAGAGAGACAUCUAUUGGCAGUGUUGGAGAGCAGCCUUGAAGCUCUCAACUCUAUCUGCGCAUACAAUUGGUUCCAGUGUAGUAUGCUCUUGACAAAGAAAGAGUUCUUAUAUGGAUCGGUGUUGCUAGGAAUAGUUUCUAGUGCCUUAGAAUUGUUCUUCACUGAAUUUGUCACUAUAUUGGCACUUACAAAAUUGUCAAAUGUUUUAGGUUUGAUUUUUCUCUUAGGUUUACUUUUAACAAGAAAAUCGUCGGGAUUAAUAGCUGGGACCAACCCCUCAACCACUUUGUACAGAAAUACCAGCCGUUGACUUGUUCUUCUCGUUUGUAGGUUGUCUAGUUCUAACUCGGCUAGCAUUUUGGUGACCGACCCCUCUACUCUAGACCUAUAGUCGCCUGUUAUGAAUCUCGCUGCUCUGCUUGAUCAUUUGAAUACGGAAUUUAUUUAAAUUAAACGGUAAUUGAAUCGUUUUAUCGGACCAUCAUCAGUGAUCAAUCUUGUUUUUUAAGAGUUAAAACUGCUAUUUAAUUGUCUCGAUGAUCUGUGCCAAGAUUGGCUUUGAUCAUCAGACUCGGUUUUUGGUUUGCAUUUAACCCCCUGUGUAUUAUUAUUUUGUUGGACGACAGAGGAUGACAGAUGGGAAGUUUUCGUAAUGUCGCGCACCGAAUUCCUAUAAACACGUGAUCACAUUCUUAGCUGUUCUAUAAUAAUUACCCACUUCGUUAUAUAUAUAUAUGUAUGAAAUUUAAAUAUUAUAUUUUUUGUUAUUUUAUUUCAUUUAUUGUCGGUAGAUUAAUUUGUAAUCAGCAAUAAUUUAUUGUUUAAUUAUACAAGUCGUGUUAAAUCAAAUAUCAAACUAUCAAUAUAAAGUUUGCAGCAUUUAUUAUUUCGCCUGGGAGGAAUUUAUAAACGGAAGUGGAAAAGCGGAUGUUGUGACUAAUGAGUCCGGAAGCGAAUUAUUCAUUGAAAGUAGAACUAUUACAAACAUUCUGAAACAGGUUGGUAGGAAUUCACGUCUAACAUAAGACUUUGCAUUUCGCAUCAAUAGAAAAGAGUAUCUUUACCAAAUAGUUCAAGCAAUUGUAUACUAUUUUAUCCUGAAAACUGCACUGUGUCUGUGUAGCAAAGCAUUUCAUUUUCAACCAUUUGUCUGGACUGCUAGAAAAAAAUCAGGCUAUUAUUUUAAUAGUAUAAAGGUGUUAAUACAUAUUUAUAAAAUGAGCAUUCCUAAUUUCGCUCUGUGUCCCUGUGACAAAAUGUAGGGUAGUUGAAACAAAUAUAUUUUAGGUACCGCCCUCAUUACACUUGGCUAGGGCUGAAGACUCCAGGGAUCUCCAUGGCCUGUUUAACGAUGGCGUCCCGCCAUCGUUCAAAUGUCUUGCGCCAUCGUCAAAUGACUCGCGCCAUCGUUAAAUUGCCUUGCGCCAUCGUUAAACUGUCUUCCGCCAUCGUUAAAAACUUCAUCGUUUUUUGUAGCCCGACGCCAUUUUUUUUAUCAAUUAUAAUCAAAUGCAUGUAAUUGCAUAACCCUUAGGCUUUUUAUGUUAUAAUCCAAUACAGUUCUAACGCCUGAGGGAUAUCCGGAUUAAGAUCGCUAAUCACUUGUACCUGAGCUUGUACAGGUAGAUCAACAAACCAGACAGGAGAAUACUAUCUGAGGAUAGACGACCAAUUGUCGAAUUAAUCAACUAAGUUUCAGCAAAUGAUUAUGAUAAUUUAGAUUAAAUAAAUUAAUUAAUAAUCCAGUUACAAAGAAAAUAGUUUAACAAGUCGAACACGUGCUUUAUUUUGACUUACGCAAUCAGCAUCCCCCUUUUUUAAGAAGUACAAAAUAAGACGGAAAACAGUAAAUAUUAUUUCAUCGCUGUACUGCUGUAACGAUAAUUUAAAAUUACUUUAAAAGUUUAAAAGUAAAAACUUAAAUAUUUCCUGUAAAAAAAUAUCGUAUCGUAAUUCCGAAUUCAUUUCGUAUAUUACAAUCAAAUUGAUACAUCCGCGUUUCCGGUUUCUAUUCAGACUCGAAAGAUGCAUGUUGCACAGCAUCAAUUUGCCAGAUAAAGUCAUUAAAAACCUCUUCAUUUGUCAACGUUUGCUUUACAAAUCUCUUUAACCUUUUACAUAACCCGUACGAAUCGUUUUGUUGUUGCUGCAAAUCAUCCAUACCGGUAAUGGGUUCUGAAUUUGACAGUGUCCAUGAAAAAUAAGCUCCACAUGAUGGCACAUCAUAUAAUUUUUAACCGCCAUAAUAAUUACCAAAAAUACAAGAAAUCUACAUGGGGACCUUCAUGACAGCUUUUGGUCAUUCUCGACUAAGGGGGGACCAUGAAGACUUGGCAUUUGAAUGGUUAAAAACGGCAAUAAAUGAAAAUAUUGAUACUUCUAAUGCUAUAAUGAAAAUACAAAUAAAUAUAAUUUAAAUAAGCAAUGCAUUAGCAUGUUCACCAUUCCCUGUAUGGAGGGAUAAAAUACUUCCGAUCGCGCUACACUGUACAGCGUAGACACGGUUUGUAAUGGUGAAAGUUCCUCCAUGGUUCAAUUUUCAUCCAUGGAGAUCCCUGGACUCCUACCCCCUUCUGCAAAACUGUAGCUCUUAUCUGUAUUGUUUCCUGGAAAGUACCAAUACUAGCUUUAACUCUUCGGGAGAGAGUGCCUAUUGACGGCGUUGGAGAGCUGUUUUGAAGGUCUCAACUGACUUGGUGCACACAACAUGUAUGUCUUUUUCCAGUUGGUUCCAGUGAAUCACAGCCAUGACGAAGAAAUUGCUCAGUAUUACAGUUUGUUGUUUCAAUUGCCUUUGAGUAGUUUUUUACUGAGUUGGUAGUUGGUAACUAUAUUCGGGCUUUUAAAGUCUACAAAGCAUGUAAUAAUCCUUUCGGUUUUGCUUUUAACCAAAAAUUCGUCAGGUUUGAUACCUGGGACCAAAUCCUCGACCACUUUGUACAGAAAUCAGGGUUGGCAUAGUAUUACCCACCGGGAAAACCCAGGUCUGGGUUUUCCCGGGCUAGGCAAUACCCCCAGAAAUGGGUAAUACCGGGCAAUAUGAUUUAUUUAAGUUUAUUUCAACCCUAAAUAGUAAAGACUUAUUGUAGUUUCAUAGUAUUAUAACUAAAUAGAUACAUUUUAAACAGAUAACCAUUUGGGAGGGGGGCAUUUUUAAAAGAUUGAAAAUUCAAUAAUUCUUUUCCCCUUAUUCUAUAUUGGCAGAAUACAAGAUACACUUAAGGAUACCUUGUUCAUUUUAAAGCAUUGUUUCGAUAAUACAGACUAGUUAUGAAAAAAAAGAAUGUUAUUGAAGUGUUAAAUUGAAUUGUAAAGGUAAAAUGCUAUGCAAUCAUAUUGCUAAAUAAACACCCUAAAGGGUCAUGUCAUUUACACUUACUGUAAAAGCAGAAAUUUUCGUGGAGGAUUUAAUUUCGUUUAUUUCGUGGAAAGAAUAUAUCCACGAAAUUAAAACCCCCACGAAAAUUUAACUUCCAUAUAAAACCACUUCCAGUUUAAGGAAGCCACGAAAUUAAAUCCCCAUGAAAUCUUACAGAGAGACAAAACCAAGAAAUUUUAACCCCACGAAAAUUAAUGUUUCUACAGUAUGUAUUGAAAAGACUGAUUAUUGUUAUAUGAACAUAUCUGUGUCUAAUCUGAAUAAUUACUUAUUAAUAAGUAAUGUACAUAUAAUAGAUUUUGAGGAGAAUUAUUGAGAAAGGCUUUUUCCAUUUAUCUUUGCCCAAUGUCACUUUGUGUCUUCAUGUACACUUGUCUCAGAGUUGCUAAAUAAUACUUUCUCAAAUGCAUACACUUUUAUUAUAAGAGUCUCAAACAAGUUAACUUAUUUAUAAUAAAAAUAUGUUUAUAGACACUUUAAAUGUAUUGCAUAUGUUUUUAGUCACCGAAUCCUCUUUAAAAUUCAGGAUUCAACCAGGAUUUUCCCAGUAUUUCCCACUGGGCUGGGCAAUACUCAUAAAACCCGGGUUUUUGCCAACCCUGACAGAAAUACCAGUCUUUGGAUUGUUUUUCUGGACUGAAGGUUUUCAAGUUCUUUCUUUGGAUUCUUUCUAGUUGGUUGAUGUUGUUCUAUGUAUAAGCAUGAUAAGGGAGUUGGUUGAUGUUGUUCUAACUUCUAUGUAUAAGCCUGAUAAGGGUCCCAUACAAUUGCACCAUAUUCCAUCAUAGAUCUAGCCAAUGAAAUGUAUGCUGUUUUCUUACAGUCUGUUAGGCAGAAUCUUAAUUUCGCCUUAGAAAGCCUAGUGUAGAAUUUGCUUUCUUAGUUACAUUUAAAAUGUUGGUGGUCCAUUUCAGAUCACCCAAUAUCUGUAGUCCCAGGUAAGGGUUUUGUUGGACAAUGUUGGAGUAUGUGUCUUGAGGGUACAAUGUAUAGAAUUUGUUCUUAAUGCUCAGGAUGUAACAUUUCUAUGCAUUGAAGCGCAUACCCCAGUCUUUGGCCCAUUUUUCUUUUGUUUUAAUAUUUUUGUACAGCAGACAGUUACAUGUAUCAGCAAAAAUAUAUAUUUUUAUAUAACUAGGACCGAAGAUAGUAAAAAAAUAUCAUAAGAACCUGAGAGCUACUGUUCCCCAGAAAGUAGAUUCCCUGAUAUUUUGACCCAUGGUUCAUUCACCCUACUUUUAUUUUUAAGAUAUUAAUAUAAUACUAAUGGUAUUGAGGUUUGAUAAACUUAUACAGAUAUUUACAAAAUAUAAUGUAUUUCUCAUAAAAUGAUGGAAAAUAUUUGAAAAAUAUUGGCUAGUUUCCAGGAGCAUUAUUGGUUUCAUUGUUACAUUCAUUUUUAUUCAGAAUUUCUUUCAAUGACUGUUGAUAGCAAUUAAUUAAGAAUUCUAAUUAACAGGUAAAUUAAUGCUAAGUGCAUUUAAUCUCACUGAAUGGUAAAUAAUCUUAGACUGUCUGUUGAGUUAAAAAAUCAAAAUAGAAAUAUUCCUGCAACAUGAAGACAUGAACAUGUUCUUGUCAUUUGCUUUCAAUGCUGGAUAUGAUAGGACCACUAAUCAGUCUAAAUAAUUUUCAUAUCAUCAAAUUUUCUAUUGAGACACUAUUAGAUUCUGAUUGAAUACAAUGGAAUAGAAGUCAGAUGAUUGAUAAAGGCUCCCCUAGUUGUUUUUUGCAUUUGACUAAUUACUUAUGUUUACAUGUUAUAGUCUUUUUUCAGAAUAAAGACACAAUGGCAUUGAAUGCCCCACAAAUGGGGACACUUCAAGUCCGUUGGGAUCCAAAGAAUUUGGAAAUCAAAACAAAGUCUGUAGAAAAAACUCUAGAACCAUUAGUUACACAGGUAAAAUUGUCUUUUAGGAACAUAUGAGACUUUUAUACAUUCAAGAAUGUAAUAAAACAUAAAUUAUUGGGGGUUAAAUCUAUUUAAACAUGUUAAAUUUAGUGCCUAGUGGUAGACAUGUUAUGCAGAUUUUUUCAAAAUCAUCAAUUUUCUGUUACAAAAAAAUGGCAAAGCAUGCUGAUUAAAUACAGACAGUUUACUUUAUUUUAGGUUGUCUACUUAGCUUUUUUAAAUUCAUAAUUGUUAAUUUUACAACUCUGCAUAUAAACUUUUCCAACAAACUACAGUAAAGUUGGUUCACCAUGCUUCAUGUGUGUGGCUAUUGACAUGAUAGAAUUCUUUGAAAAUAUCUCAUGAAUUUCAGGUUACAACACUCGUCAAUCAGAAAUCCCCAUCUAAUAAAAAGAAAGGAAGGUCAAAGAAAGCUCAUGUUCUGAGUGCUGCAGUACAGAAGGCAACAGAAAACUUUAUCAUUGCUGGAGAAACAAUUGCCAAUGAAAAUCCAGACAUCAGAAAUGAUAUGCUGGAUGCUGUAGAUGAAGUCAAGAAAACAGGUACAUUUUUUUGUCUAGAAUUUAUAGCACCUGAAGAUAAAAUAACUUGAUCCAGAGUGAGACAUUACAUGUACAUCUUCCUUAUUUCUACCUGACGGUUCACAGGGUUUAGCAUUUGUAAAUCAUUGUCAAUUCCUACUUAAACAGAAGAAAUGGAAAAUACUUGUAGCAAAUAAUGAAAUGAGCUAAUUCUCAACUGGUGUUAUUUAGUAAACAUAUUAAAAUUUAAGGAAAUGUGAUAUGAUUGUCAAGGUCCAUACAGAAUAUGAUGGAGUUAAACUAGUUUGCUGGCGCCAUUUCCUCCUACAAAAUGUAUUACAAUUUUAACUAACCUCAAUAAAAUUGAGAGAGCUAGAAUGAAAUUCAAAACAGUGUAGCUGUGGCCAUUGAUUGACACAUUAAAAUCAUCCAUUGACUGGGACAAUUUACGUGAACGUUUGUCUGUAACGACCACUGUUCACGACGUACCUACGAUAGACAUUUAAACUGUGGGGUCACCAAAGGUUUCUUAACGCCUUUAAUUAUAAAAUAAUUCGAAAAAUUAAUCAGGAAUAACCUUUGUGUUUUGAUUUAUAUAAUUGAUAUAAAUCAAAAUAUCGUGUUAUUUCUGAUUAAUUUUUCGAAUUACUUUAUUUAGGUGUUGAGAACCUUUGGUGACCCCAUAGUUUAAGUGUCUUCAAAAAGUACAUAGUGAGCAUUGGUCGUUACAUACAAACGUUCACCUAAAUUGUCCCAGUCAAUGGAUGAUUUUAAUGUGUCAAUCAAUGGCCACAGCCACACUGUUUUGAAUUUCAUUCUAUAUAAGUACCACUGACAUCUAUGUCAUUUGUGUUUGAGCUUCCAACAUAAAUUUAGGAGACACAAUUAAAAAUUGUUUAUUUUUCAGGUGACGCAAUGACAGAGGCAUCACAAGACUUUGCUGCUGAUCCUUGUUCUUUAGCUAAAAGAGGUGCUAUGGUUCGUGCUGCACGUGCAUUACUGUCUGCUGUCACACGACUGAUGAUUUUGGCAGAUAUGGUUGAUGUACAUUUACUGUUGAAGACUUUAAAUCUGGUAAACUUUUUUUUUUAUGCAUCUUAUUGUAUCUUACAAAUCCAAAAAUUAGAAUUAAAGUUACAGUAUUAAAACUUUUUCAUUAUAAAAUUAAUCUAGAUUCUCUAAUAACAUUUUUGAAGCCAGUUUUCUCAUUCAAAUCUGAUGACACUGUUUGUUUACUUUGCUAAAAAAUGGGUUUCUAAGAGGAACAAAAAGUUUAGUAAUUGUAUCUCUAUGUAAUUGUUUUUUUUUUUGAUAAAUAAUACUAAGCUCGACACAAAAAUAAAAAAUGGAGAGUAACUAUGAUAUUAUGAUUUUUUCUGAAAAAAAAUAAGUUCUUGGAAAUGGAUGAAAGUGUAAGAUAGAGUACCUGUUACCUUGGUUAAAAUAUGUACAGUAAGAAUUGACACAAGGGUUAAAAUUUUUGUCAAAUGAUCAUACUUUUAAUUAGAAAGGUCUUUUGAAAGAUCAUAUGAUUGAAAAUUGGUAGAAAUAUGGAUUACAGAUUAUUGCAUGAUUAAGGUUAAAAGUUAAGAUUUGUUUUCUUCAGGUUGAGGGUGACCUAGACAGAGUAUUAAAUGCCACAAGCCAGCAAGAUCUGAUGGCAACAUUUAAAGACUUAGGAGACAGUAUAAUGGAUCUGACAAAUAAAGCAGCACACAGACAAAAUGUGAGUCGAGUAUAGAAGUGAAGCAUCAGAAAGAAUGUCAUAAAAUAGUACAUAAUUUUUAUUAUUAUUUAAAAUGUUUCCUUACACUCAAAUAAAUUUUUAAAAAAUCUCAUCAGAAAAUUGGGAAGAUAUUGCAUUAGAUAUCAUUAAAAUGUGUUACCUUUUGAACUGGGCAACAAUGCAUGUCUUUAUACUAGUCUUAAUUAACUGCAUUGUCAAAAAAAAUGUAUUAACUGCAUUGAUAAACAGGGUUCUUAGUAGGAAAUUUUUAUGGUGAGUCCUGGGAUUCAUCACUGUUAGAAAUGGUGAGUCCCAGUAGAUUUUGAUGAGUCCAUGAUGUACCAUUGACUGUAGUUUAAUGUCUUUUCAUACUUUAAGGAACAUGUUCUAUAUAAGUAGAACUCAUUAUGAUAAACUUGAUACCCAAAGGAUAUUUUCUGCUUGCUUUAAAUACUUACAAUCAAAAGGUGAUUGAAAUGAGAUAAAAAUAAUGAGAUUGGGUAUGACUGCCAAUGAAUCAACUAUCCAGAAGAGUUCAAACAUAAGGGAUUUUGAAAUAAUAUGCAACUAUACUGCCUUCUACAAUGAAAAAAAAACAUCCUGUAUAGUAAGCGUAACGUAGUAAAAUUACUUUUUUUGGAAAUCCAGGCAUAGAUGCGUAUUCAUUGUACACUUUUCAUCUACAUGUAUUCCCCUUCAUAGAUAUACAAGUUCAGAAGUAUAAACUUAUCAUUAAUAUGUUUCUACUUUUUGUUAUAGGAUCUAAAGGAUCCAAGAAGAAAGGAAGAUAUGGCUGCAGCUCGAGCUUUAUUAAAGAAAAAUAGUAUGAUGUUAUUAACUGCAUCUAAGGUACAACAAUAGUUUAUGUCACAGCUUAAUAUCACAAAAUUUUAUGAAGGGUAAUUGAGUGUACAUUUGUAAAAAUCAAAACUGCACGAGAUCAUAAAGGUGUGAAAUUAUUAUUUUGUUGAUUAACAGAUACAUGUACAACCAUCAUGACCCUGCACUAGUCAUAUAUAUAUAUAGAAAAACAAAACAUUGUCUCAAAAUAUAAAAUUUAAUUGAAUAUGGCUUAGAAACUAGUAGAAUCUGAGGCUUUGCAAAGCUUUAUAUCAUGUUUCAAGUCAAGUAAAAAUAAAGCUUUUAGCUGGAGACGUAAAAUUUCUACAAACCUGUAUUCUUAAUUGAUGCAAUAGAUAAAAUUCAAUUAAAAGACAAUAUCAACAUCCUAAACAACUGCUUCUUUCAAACAUAUUUAUUUGGCACAGUGUCAGGUAUCUGGUUAAAUUGAGUUUUCAUGAUAUUUGACUAUGGCCCUGCAAUUAGAAUAUGUUUGGUUGACUAAUCUAGAUUAAUUUUUAAAAAGGUUGUUUUGAAAGAUCAAAUCUUAUGAAUAUCAUUGGAAAUCUCAAUGAACCAUUUCUUCCUUGAAAAAAACAAUGUUUUGACUGCCUUUAUCAAAGAAUUAUAUAUUUUUAUCGUAGCGUACAAUUUCUGUUAUCUCAUACAAAUGAUCUUUUUAACUCUCCUUGAGUUUAUGUUAUAACGUUAUUUCUUGAUUUUCUUCUAGGCCUAUGUGAGACAUCCAGAAUUAGCCUCAGCCAGAGCUAAUCGUGACUAUGCUUACCAACAAGUUAGAAGUGCCAUCAGCACAAUCUCUGGUGUGGCCCAAGCAUCUGGACAAUCUGAUGCUCAUCCUUACGAAGGAGCUGGAGAAUUGGCAUCAGCUCUUGAUGAAUUAAUGGUAAGAUUAUGUUUGAGAGAAUUAUUUAAAAAUACUAAAAGUUUAAAUUAAGGAAAGGAACCACACACCAAAGUCUAAGACAAUAAUUAACUAAAUCUUGCUUCUGGAAAUUUUUUUUUUUUAUGCUUCACAAAUAUAAUCUGUGAAAAAAUGUGUAUUUAAAUAUUUUCUGAUUUUCUUUGUAUUUUGUAAUUAUUAUUAUUAUUAUUAUUAUACAAUAUUUAUAUAGCGCUUAUAUAAUUGAAAAAUCCCUAACGCUUAACAUGAAUAAACAAAUAAGAUUACAUAAGUAAAAGCAAAUAUACAAUCACAUAAAUACAAUUUCUGAGCAGUGGCGUGUAAAAUGAAAACAUUAUAUUGUCGGUUAAAUAGAAUAAUAUAAAAGAAUGUACAACCACACAAAAAAUAUCAAAAAUUUAAAAUUAAUCAAAAUGAAAGAAAAGUAAAAAAAGUUUCAAAAAAUAAAAAUGAGUUAAGAAAAAUUUUAAAUUUCCUCUGUAUAAAUUUAAAAUAAUGAUUAUCAUUAAACCACAGUGACUUAAGUAUUAAAAAUUAUUAAGUAAAAGUUCACAAUACAAUCAACACUGUUAAAACAAAUUGUUCAUAAAAUUUCAAAUUUACAAAAAAUCAAUGAAAACACUUCGGAAAAAAUAUGUCUUAAGAUCCUUUUUAAAAACGUCAAGAGAUUGUUCAUUUCGAGUAAGGAUGGUAAGCUGUUCCAAAGAGUUGGUGCGGCAAUAUCGAACCGUCGUUCACCAUAGCGUUUUGUCGUAACAUCAUUACUGUCAAUUAGAUUUAAAAUUUGCAUACAACACAACUUUGAAAAACAGACUGAAUAUAAAACAGGUUAUUUUGAAAUCUGGUAAUUCAAAGUUUAGUAUUAAAACUGAGAAGUUAUUUUUUGUAAGAUAACAAAUAUUAAUCUGCAAUGAAAUUCAAAUUGAGUUAUAAAUACAAAAUUUCAUAAUUCAAACAAAUUUUUAUCUUAUCAUCAACACAUAUAUAUUUAUUUUUGCUUCACUUUUUAAUAUUCUGAAUACUUUAAUACAUGCCUAGAUUUAUUUUGUUAUUUUUAAUUUAGCAAAAGAUAAUAAUGGAUCCAUUAUCGUACAAUGAAAUCAGAACGAGGCCGUCGUUAGAAGAAAGACUUGAGAGUAUAAUCAGUGGUGCUGCUUUAAUGGCUGACUCAUCCUGUACACGAGAUGAUCGUAGAGAAAGGAUCGUACAGGAAUGUAAUGCUGUCAGACAAGCUCUCCAAGAUUUACUGACAGAAUAUAUGAACAAUGUAAGUUGUUACUGUAGGUGGUGAUCACCAUCAAGAACUAGUUUAUGUAAGUUGUUACUGGAGGUGGUGAUCAUCAAGAACUAGUUUAUUUGAUAUUAAAAAAGAAAUACGACUGAUAGACAAAUAAAAAUAAUAGCAGGUGGAUUAAUUAAGAAAUUGUGAUUUUUUUAAAGUAUCUGAAUAGGAUUAUAGACUUCUGUUAAUUCAGUAUUUCCUAUUUUUAACCGCCUCAAUCUUUUCAACCUACACAUGAGAAAAUUGUAAAUAUAAUUGCAAAAGAGAAAACAUGAAUGGAAAUGGAAUUAAGAUUUCGAAUUGAAACAAGACCUAUAUCAGAUUUGCCUUUUUUGCCUGGGAUGAAAUGGGGGGACAAUAAUUCAAUUAUAUUGUGUGUUGACCUAUUAAUUGCUGGAAAUAGAAAAUCUGUAAAAUUAACUCAGUAAUUUAGAAUUUUCAGACCACAGAAAAAGUAAUUUUGGUCUUUAUCCAUAUAUUUAUCUGUAUUGUCAUAAUCUGGUGAAUCUAGUAAUUCUUAUUAUUCAUAAGAUUUACAUAAAUGUCAUUAUGUAAUGAAUAACUUAGUCAACCAGUCCUAUAAUUAAAUUGUUACAUUCAAUUAUCGUCUUAUGUUUAAACAAUGUCCAAUGUCUUUGUGACUAUUUUCGUGUGUUUAACAAAUGUUUAAACAAAGUCUUUUUGACUAUUUUUCUUGUGUUUAAACGAUGUGUUUGUGACUAUUUUUCAUGUAUUUAAACAAUGUGUGACUAUUUUUAUGAGACAGUGUACAAAGCCACACCCAGGUUCACCAUUUUGGAGAGAUGUACAUAUUGAUCCGUACCUCCAAGGAUUUCGUCCAUAUCAUGUAAUAAAAAGCAUGAGUUUCUUGUUCAGAAAUUUACACAUUGCAUAUUUGUAUUAUUUAGAUUUAUUUCCAGUCGGAAGAAAAAUAUAUUUUGUAUAUGGAACAAACCAGUUUAUGUUGUAAGAAUUAAUACUUGAAAUGCAUGUGUAACUAACAGUGACGUAUUCAGCAGGAGUUGAUAUUUUGUAUACAGUUUACUUUUGUUGUUUCUUUCUUAUUUGAUUUUUUGUUUGUUUAAGUUUUUGAUUUAUUCCUUGUUGCAAUGUUAUCGUUUUCCAGACAUUAAAAACAAGAGAUUGACAUUUUAAGUUGUUCAAACCUAUAAAUAGAAUGUGACAUUUUAAGUUGUUUAAACCUAUAAAUAGAAUGUGACAUUUUAAGUUGUUUAAACCUAUAAAUAGAAUGUGACAUUUUAAGUUGUAUAAACCUAUAAAUAGAAUGUUCUACAAAUUCCUUUUUUGAUCCUUUGAAUGUUAUGUAUAGUAAUAUUUUUACUAACAGCACAGCCAUGACGAAACUAUGUUUGAUACACUCUAGAAAUGUUGCUGUAGAAAGAAAUGAUUUAUAGAGCUUAUUGUCAUUUUAAUUUAUUAAGUAUUAAGUUUUAAUAGGUUUAAAAUAAUAACAAAAAAAACUUCUAACAUAGAUAGAAAGAAAAAAUCAACAAAUAUUUAUAUACUAUAUACUGAAUUUUUACACAGGAAAAUCGUAUAAGAAUUAAAAAUCAGGUGUUGAGUUUUUAUUCAUACACAAACAUCAAACACUGAAUCAUGCUAAAAAGUGGAACAUGAAUUUAUUUUAUUUUACGAGUGGAUUAUUAAAUUAAAAACUUUUUGCUGUUAUUAUUUAGUCAAAAAAGCAUUUUAUUUGCUUAAGCAAAUUUUUGUAUUCAUUCAUUACUGCUUCAUAAUUUUGUGGCCAGCAUUUAAGCUUUGCUGGAUAUUUGUCUUAUUUGCAAUCAUACCACAUCUAUUUUUAUACUAAUUGAAACAGGAAUGAAAUAAUGAAUAGAUUUUAUAAAAUUCAAGAAAAAAUAUCAAUUAAUGUCAAUAUUAAAUUUUGAAAAUAUGCUAAAUGGAAUUUAUUCUUGUAGGCUGGUAACUCAGAACCAAGUGAGGGAUUAGAAAGAGCUAUUGAAAACAUGCAGAAAAAGACAAAAGAUCUGAGGAGACAGGUUUGUAUAUAUUGUCUGUUUACAGUCUUCUUUUUUCACUCCUUCUUAAUUUGAUGAUAUUUCUAGAAAGCUAUAAACUGUGCUUGAAUGAUGUAUGAGCAGCAUAUAUAUAACAAGUUGGAACUUCAUAGGACCUUUCUGAGAUAGUCUGCAAAAAACACAAUUUAACUUAAUAUUGUAUAUAUGCCCAGUGUGCCCAAUAUUCCUUCGGUUUGGAGAUAUAUUCUUUGCAAAAUUUAUUGAAUGGAAAGCACAUGUUGAAGUUUAUUGUCAAAGUUCUUGUAAAUGAAAUGAUAUUGUGGAAGCUUUAUUUGGUAUUUAUGAGAAUUUCCUCACACUAGAAUUUGUUCUCAAAGAAAUACAAAGUCAAGUCAUGUGUCUAUAACAAGUGGGUGAAAACAUGAAGGAGUUUUGUAAAACAGAAGGAAUAUACUUUUUUGUCCCAUUGUCAGGCAAUAUCAUAGGAAAAUUUGUUUUGUGUAUAGCUUCUAUAAAUAAAUUGCUAACAAAAACUUGUUCAGGUAGAAAAUUAAGUACUUUGGUCAAUCUUUCUUUAACAAAUUAUUCUUGAUGCAUUUUAGUUGAGGAAAGCAGUAGUGGACCAUGUAUCUGACUCAUUUUUAGAGACCAAUGUACCAUUGUUAGUCCUGAUAGAGGCUGCAAAGGCAGGGGAUGAGAAAGGUGUAGAGGAAUAUGCCCAGGUGUUUGCUGAACAUGCCAAUAAACUUGUAGAGGUAAUGAUACAUCUUUUUUAUGUAAAAAUUGCAAAUACUUCAAAAUUAUUUGUAUUUUUACUUUUUGACUGUCUUAUCAAAGGAUUGUAUAUUGUUUUGAAAUUGUUUACUUGUUUAUGAAAUAUUUUAAUCUUCGUUUUUUGUAUGCCAUAAAAUAUCAUUGUACCCAAUUUUCAUAGUUUAGUGCAACAUUAACAAAUAUUUUCUAUUAGAAUGUUGGAAAGCCUUUGGGCCCAGGGCAAAAAGUUUUGUUUUUGGAGUGUCUGGUUAAUUGGUUAGAUAUAUGUUAGAUGAGGGAAGCUCUGUUUAAAAACUGAUUGAGUUAUCUGAAUUUCCAUUAUUUCGUUUUCAUGUUACCUCAAAAUAAGUUAUUUCGGUACAACACUUUACAUAUUUCACUUAUCUGAAGUAUAAUAUAACUUAAGAAUAUAAUAAAAGAUUUAUUAGCUUUAAGUUAAUUGUGAGUUAUAAUGGAUAUUUGACAGAAGAUAUAAUACUUUUAUUGAAUCGAUGUUUAACAGGUAGCCAACUUAGCCUGUUCAAUGUCCAGUAAUGAGGAUGGUGUUAAAAUGGUCAGACUUGCCGCUGCAGAAUUAGAAAAUCUUUGUCCACAGGUAUGGAAUAUAUUUUACUUUUUUUAAUACCUUACUGUACUGUUGAUAUGCAUAAAUGUAAAUGAGACGAAAAACGAAAGACUCAAACAAUGUUUCAAAAGAAAUCUAAGGUUCUACCAUUCAUUGGAUUUUGUUUCAAUGUUAAAGAAUAGUUAGAUUUUAUUUAAAUUUUAACCCUGCAUUAACUUGGCUUUAAAACUUGAUAGUCUUCCAAAUGUUCAACAGGGAAAUGUUUUGUAGAAAUAAUUUCUUAUUAUGCUUCAGGUUAUAAAUGCUGCUAGAGUACUGGCUGCUCGUCCACGAUCUAAAGUGGCACAGGAAAAUAUGGAUGUCUUCAAAGAUGCCUGGGAAAGAGAAGUGCGUCUGCUCACAGAUGCUGUGGAUGAUAUUACAACUAUUGAUGAUUUCUUAGCUGUCUCCGGUAAUAUUUUACAUAAAUUGAAAUUAUAAGUCAUUGUCUAAAAUUGCUUUUAUUAAUUAACAUGAAGUCCUACUGCCUCUAUGCAAUUUGGAAAAUAGUUCAUACUAAUUCCAAAUUUCAAUUUCCAAUAGUUACUUUCUCUUAUCCAAAGUUAACUUGUAAUGAAAAGUGGAUAAUUGUAGUCCAUUGCCAUGUUGAUUCUUAAGGCAGUAAUCAUUAAAAAAAAAAGGUCAACACUGUGAGUCAGUGAUUAGCGGUUUGAAACAUGAAAAUUGAAUAUGUAUCCUUACACUGACAUAAAACUUUAAUUGCUUCUUUCAACCAUCUCUUUAAUGUCACCAAAUGAUUUCAAAAGUUAUUUGGAAAUAGAAAACAUUUGCCGUUAAAAGGAUAGAUUUUAUCAAAAUCCUCUUUAUUUACUUUCAUCGCUUAUAAUUUAAUACUUUUUUUUACAGAAAGCCACAUCUUGGAAGAUGUGAAUAAAUGUGUGGUCGCAUUACAAGAGAUGGACCCUGACAAUCUAGAUCGUACUGCCGGAGCUAUCCGAGGUCGUUCAUCACGAGUCUGUAAUGUUGUUAGUGCUGAGAUGGACAAUUAUGAACCUGGUCUGUACACAGACAGAGUAAUGGAGGCUGUUGUAAUGCUCAGAGAUCAAGGUAAAAUUCUUAGGCCAAACCUUAAAGAUUUUUAGUUUUUUUAACCUUAAAAGAUAUAGAUAUGUACUUAUUGUUUAUGGGAAAACUAUUAAACAUUAAUUUUCUAAAGUUCAAUAUGUUGCAUACAGUUAGUGGGAAAAUAAGGUGAAUUCAAGAUUACAGUUGAUUGUUGCUUUCAGAUGUAUUUAUACAAAAUUCUUAAAUUUUCCGUUCACAAGCAAACAUAAUGCUUUUAAUUUACAUGUUGAACUUUAACUUUCAGUUAUGCCAAACUUUGCUGAGAAAGUGGAGAUAGCAGUGGAUGCAUUGAGUUGUAAUCCACCAAGGGAGAUAGAUGAGAAUGAAUUUAUUGAUGCUAGUCGUCUGGUAUAUGAUGGAGUCAGAGAAAUCAGACAGGCAGUUCUUAUAAACAGGGUUUGUAUAUACUAGUUGUGAAAUUGCUUUAAUCUAGUAAAUAUUUGGUAAUUAUAUCGAUAAAUAAAACAUCUAUUUUGAGAAUAUUUAUUUUUUUAUGGACACAUCACAAGCCACUUUAAAUACUGAAUUUAAAUAUUGUAAAUAAUGGAUGCUAUUGAGGGGGGGAUAUUUGAACUGCUCUUUAAGCUAGUAAUAUAUAUUUAUAUAGAUAACUGGUGUCCUAAUCUAGACAGUGUUUUCCAUUCGGCAUUUAAGCCGGGUGUACCGACCACCUUCUUUUAAAGCCGACCACCUUUCGAUUUUAGGAGGUGGUCGGCUUUUUUUCAAAAUCCGGAUUUUUCUCGGUUCCAUACCGUUAAAAUUUGAAUACUAAUCCCGCCUUGUUUUCAUUGACAAAGAUGGCGUCCAAUCGUCAAAUUUCAAUGUUUUCAUGAAUCAAUCGGGGAAAAAAAAAGGCAGAUGACGAUGAUGAUAAAGAAAAUACUAGACCAAAUAAGUUAAAUAAAAUUGAUAGUAAUGUUGAAGGUGAACAAAAAUCAACCAAAAAACGGAAAAGACACGCAAGUGAAGACAAAUAUGAGGAAGACUUCAAAUGACUUAUAGUCACAGAGGAAGGAUACUACUGUUCUGUGUGCCAAAAAUACGGCACAAAAGCAAGAAACAGGACAGAAACCUGGAUCGAAAGGCCUUAAAUCCAUGCUGAUGCAUAAAAUUGUAAAUAAAAGAAGAGAUAAAAGAGAUAAAUUUUGAAAAAAUAAAAUCAAAGAAUAUUUGACAAUUAAUAUGACUACUUCUAUUUAUGUUUGUUCAACUCCAUUGAAUGUGAAUAUUAUACUAAUCUUUAUUUUUGUGACCCCCACGUGCACCCUCAGUUAAUAAAAAAAAAGGUUGGACAUUAAAAAAAAACCACCCGGUUGCAAGUUAUUUUUUUAAAACACCCACCUUACUUUAGUGAAAAAAGGAAAACACUGCUAGAGAUAAUGCAAGUUUAAAUGGAUACCAGAUUAUAGUAACCAAACAAUAGGACCACAACAUCUAAAUCUUGUUCCAACUAUUUUUUCCUAUAAAAAAGGUUCUUGACACCUAUUUUAUAUUUGUAGAGUCCUGAAGAAAUAGAUACAGACACAGAGUAUGAUAUUGAAGAUGAAUAUGACACGCACAUGAGUAAAUGUAAGUCUCUUCAAUGAAUAUGAUACACAUUAGUAAAUAUGAAUUAUGAUAAAUGUGAGUUACAAAUGAAUAAAUAUGAGAUAAGAUGAAUAUAAUGAGAACAAUAAUAUGAAUAUGACACACAUGAAUAAAACAUUAUUUGAAAUAAAUAUAACAAAGAAUGACUCAUUUUAGGAUACUUUGAAUAGGAUAGAUACAUAAUGGUUUACUUUUACAAAUAGUGACUUGGAUAGAGAGUUGUCUCAUUGGCAAUCAUACCACAUUUUCAUAUAUCUAUGAAAAAAAUAAGGCCAAUUAGACUUAAAACUAGGGAACAUCUUUCAAAAAAAUAUUAAUGAAAACUAUGUUUACAUGCUACAGAAAAUUAGUUAGAUGUGAAAAGCUUAGCUUGAAAGAAAAAUUAUCUAGUUUAGAACAAAACUCCUUGCUAGGUUUGCAGAUUAAAUUGAGCAUUCUAAUACAUUUGCAUGUCAAAUUGAACGUGAAGGUGCAUAAUUGAAUUGCAUACAAAAAUGGUUACAGCGGUGGUAAAUUUUCUCCUUUAUAUUAUAGCAAGUUACACAACAGAACAAGAUUACUCAGGACAAAAGAGUGAGAGAUGGAUUAUGGCUCAUCUGCCUGCAGAAGAAAAGGAAGUUAUCCAACAACAUGUCCAGGAAUUCCGUACUGCCAAACGAGAAUUGGACCAGGAAAUAAGGAAAUGGGAUGACAGCGGAAAUGACAUCAUUGUUUUGGCCAAACAGAUGUGUAUGAUUAUGAUGGAAAUGACAGAUUUCACAAGGUUUGCUUUUAGGAAUAAAUAUUAAUCAAUGUAUAUAGUUAUAUAAUAUGACUUAUUUGCUAUUUAUUGAAGGAUUUACAGCUCUUCUAUAAAAGCAUGCAAAGCAAACCUUUGAUCAACUUGCUUGCUAUGUUUGUUUGGAUGUUUGUAAACAACGGGUAAGUAGUGUCUGUCUGUUUACUUUAUACUUGAUUGAAUUUGAUUGGACAAUAAACAAUAGCCAUUAACUUCAUUUCAUGUCAAUUUUUAUUGUCCAUUCAAAUCCCAGUAUAUAUAAAACAGACUGAAACUCCACCUACCUAUUGUGUGCAAACAUCAAAGCAACAUAGCAAGCAAGUUGAUCAAAGUUUGUUUUGCAUGCUUUUAUAGAAGAGCUGUAAAUUCUACUCAAAUAAGGUUUAAAUUCAAAUAGAAUAUAUUGAAGAAAUACAGACAUAACACCAUAAAACAUCAUAACUUGAAAGGUGGACAGACACACUUAAAGUUAAUAAAAAAAAAACCACUACAUUGACAACAAAGACCCACUAAAGACUUAAAAAAUACAUUUCAAAUUUUAUUUUAAUUUUGUAUGAUUUUUCCAGAGGACGAGGUCCAUUGAAGAGUACCAUGGAUGUCAUCAAUGCAGCAAAGAAAAUCUCAGAAGCUGGAACAAAACUUGAUAAGUUAUCAAGAACUAUACUUGAUAUGGUAGGGUCUCAAUUUAUUAUAUGCACAUUGGACAUUAAAAAUAUGUUGAAUCCACUAAAUAGUAUGAGCUAAUGCUAUAUACUCCAGCAAUAUAUAAUAUUUAUCCUAAUUUUGACUGAAAAUGUGUCAAAAUAGUCAUAUUUUCUAAGUUCAAUGUUUAUUAUAAUGAUUAUCUUUUUGCAAUAAGUGUAGACAUAUCACAUUAAUAAAAGCACACAAUAAUUCCUGAAUAUACAGUAGUGGUUGAGAGAAAAUAACUUUAAAUAUUUUUCUUUCUUUCAUUUCAGUGUCCAGAUUCUGCCUCCAAGAAAGAUUUAGAAGCUUACUUACAGAGAAUAGCCCUAUACUGCCAUCAGUUGAAUAUCACCAGUAAAGUCAAGGCUGAUGUUACCAGUGCUAGUGGAGAACUUAUUGUAUCAGGGGUAAAUAACUUCAGUUACUAUAGAAACACAAACAAUGUGUCAGUGUUAUCAUUUACUUAUACUGUAAACUAGGGUGUAUAUAACCUAACUGUAGAAUUUACUCUCAAAAUCUUAAAUUAUUUUGUUUUGUAAUUUUACCCAUGUUAUUCAUAUUGGGCUUUAAAAAAAAAGAUAUUGGAGAUGAGUUCUGGCUUAAUUUCAAUAGAUUUAUAAAUGAAAAAUUAAAUUCUCAUUCAAUUUUGAAUGGCUGGAUUGAUAAAUAUUACUAUUCAAUUCCCCUCCACUUCAUAGACUUUAGGGACGACAUCAAAAGAUCGAUGUAGGAUAAAAAAAACUUAAAUCUAAUAGUUUGGGAGUGGGGGUUAACAUUGCUGCAAGUUUUGUUAAUCCAAAAUCGAUUUUACAUACAUGCAUAUAGGUAAAUCAAUUUUUCCCAAAUUAAGUUAAGAGGAGGGCCGGGGGUCAGUGAAUUUAAAAGUUUUUUAUUAUACAUUGAACUUUUGAUGUCUUCCCUUAUUAUCAUCUGUCAUUACAAUUUACUAAACUGCAACUGAAGCUUUUUAUACGACCGCAAAAAUUUUAAUUUUUCGUCGUAUAUUGCUAUCACGUUGGCGUCGUCGUCUGCGUCGUCGUCCGAAUACUUUUAGUUUUCGCACUCUAACUUUAGUAAAAGUGAAUAGAAAUCGAUGAAAUUUGACACAAGGUUUAUGACCACAAAAGGAAGGUUGGGGUUGAUUUUGGGAGUUUUGCCCAACAUUUAGGAAUUAGGGCCAAAAAGGGCCCAAAUAAGCAUUUUCUUGUUUUCGCACUAUAACUUUAGUUUAAGUGAAUAGAAAUCUAUGAAAUUUGACACAAGUUUAUGACCACAAAAGGAAGGUUGGUAUUGAUUUUGGGAGUUUUGGUCCCAACAUUUUAGGAAUUAGGGGCAAAAAAAGGGCCCAAAUAAGCAUUAUUCUUGGUUUUCGCACAAUAACUUUAGUAUAAGUAAAUAGAAAUCUAUGAAAUUUAAACACAAGGUUUAUGACCAUAAAAGGAAGGUUGGGUUUGAUUUUGGGAGUUUUGGUCCCAACAGUUUAGGAAUAAGGGGCCAAAGGUCCAAAAUUGAAUCUUUGUGUGAUUUCAUCAAAAAUUGAAUAAUUGGGGUUCUUUGAUAUGCUAAAUCUAACUGUGUAUGUAGAUUCUUAAUUUUUGGUCCCGUUUUCAAAUUGUCUACAUUAAGGUCCAAAGGGUUCAAAAUUAAACUUAGUUUGAUUUAACAAAAAUUGAUACUUGGGUUCUUUAUUAUCUUGAAUCUAAAAAUGUACUUAGAUUUUUUAUUAUUGGCCCAGUUUUCAAGUUGGUUCCAAAUCGGGGUCCAAAAUUAAACUUUGUUUGAUUUCAUCAAAAAUUGAAUAAUUGGGUUCUUUGAUAUGCCAAAUCUAACUGUGUAUGUAGAUUCUUAAUUUUUGGUCCCGUUUUCAAAUUGGUCUACAUUAAAGUCCAAAGGGUCCAAAAUUAAAUUAAAUUUGAUUUUAACAAAAAUUGAAUUCUUGGGCUUUUUUGAUAUGCUGAAUCUAAACAUGUACUUAGAUUUUGUUUAUGGCCCAGUUUUCAAGUUGGUUCAAAUCAGGAUCCAAAAUUAUUAUAUUAAGUAUUGUGCAAUAGCAAGAAAGGAGUAGGUCUGGGUAAGGGCCGAUUUUGGCCUCAUAUUUCAGGUUCAUCUAACGAAAGUUUUUGGACACUUUUUAAACACUUAAGUGUCUAUUUCAAUUGAUUCGAUUAGUUUAUGUGAAAGAUUUUAACUGAUUUAGUCAUUAAAAACGCUCUGAUUCAAGCUUAAAUAUGAAAAAUCUAUCAAAUAUGCCAAAAAAACGUCACUUUUUAGAUGGUUUUUGUCAAAAUGAAUGUGGCCGCAUCCGUGUUCAUCUCCUCAACCUUUAUAUAUGUUUGUAUUAUAUCAAAUACAACUUACAUUUCAAUAUAUGAAUGAACACGAAUGCCGCCACUUUCAUUUUAGACGGAAACCGUCUAAAAAUUGACCAAAAUGCUAAAAUUUUGAAGAUUUCAGUAAUUUAGCAUGACUUAAUGAUGCUAGAACGCGAUAUUUGUGCAUUGUAUCGUCAAAAAACAGCUCAUAUUUAUGUAGCAGAAGCAUUUUACUUUCCAAAUAUAGCUUAAAGAUUACAAUUUCACAAUUUUUAAAACUGCUAUAUUUUGGGCAAAAAGGGGUCUUAGUGAACCUACUCCUUUUCAAUUGCACAGUAUUCAGCAAUAGCAAGAAAUCUUCAAUUGCACAGUAUUGUGCAAUAGCAAGAAAUUUUCAAUUGCUCAGUAUUGCGCAAUAGCAAGAAAUCUUCAAUUGCACAGUAUUGUGCAAUAGCAAAUAUUUUCAAUUGCACAGUAUUGCGCAAUAGCCAGACAUAUCUAAUUGCACAAUAUUGUGCAAUAGCAAGAAAUUUUCAAUUGAUUGGAGUUAUUUUUCUUUGUCCAGAAUAGUAGUUGAGUCAACUUAAAUCAUUGUUUUAUACAAUAUACAAUGUAUAUUUCACUUUUACUACCAACUGAUAAAUUAAAAACAAUCUUACCAUUCAGUGAUAACAAGCACCUUUUGUUACAUUUUUAUACGACCGCAAAAUUUGAAAAAUUUUUCGUCGUAUAUUGCUAUCACGUUGGCGUCGUCGUCUGCGUCGUCGUCGUCGUCCGAAUACUUUUAGUUUUCGCACUCUAACUUAAGUAAAAGUGAAUGGAAAUCUAUGAAAUUUUAACACAAGGUUAUGACCACAAAAGGAAGGUUGGUAUUGAUUUGGAGUUUUGUCCAACAUUUUAGGAAUUAGGGGCCAAAAAGGGCCCAAAUAAGCAUUUUCUUGGUUUUCGCACUAUAACUUUAGUUUAAGUUAAUAGAAAUCUAUGAAAUUUUGACACAAGUUUAUGACACAAAAGAACAGUUGGGAUUGAUUUUGGGAGUUUUGGUUUCAACAGUUAGGAAUUAGGGGCCAAAAAAGGGCCCAAAUAGCAUUAUUCUUGGUUUUCGCACAAUAACUUUAGUUUAAGUAAAUAGAAAUCAAUGAAAUUUAAACACAAGUUAAUGACUACAAAAGAAGGUUGGUAUUGAUUUUGGGAGUUUAGGUCCCAACAGUUUAGGAAUUAGGGGCCAAAAGGGACCCAAAUAAGCAUUUUUCUUGGUUUUCGCACCAUAACGUUAGUAUAAGUAAAUAGAAAUCUAUGAAAUUUAAACACGAGGUUUAUGACCAUAAAAGAAGGUUGGUAUUGAUUUUGGGAGUUUUGGUCCCAACAGAAUAAGGGCCCAAAGGUCCAAAUUAAACUUUGUUGAUUUCAUCAAAAUUGAAUAAUUGGGUUCUUUGAUAUGCCGAAUCUAACUGUCAUGACUGUAUGUAACUUUUGGUCCCGUUUUCAAAUUGGUCUACAUUAAGGUCCAAAAGGUCCAAAAUUAAACUUAGUUGAUUUUGACAAAAAUGAAUCAGUUAGGUUCUUUGAUAUGCUGAAUCUAAAAUGUACUUAGAUUCUUGAUUAUUGGCCCAGUUUUCAAGUUGGUCCAAAUCGGGGUCCAAAAUUAAACUUUGUUUGACUUCAUCAAAAAUUGAAUAAAUGGGUUCUUUGAUAUACCAAAUCUUACUGUGUAUGUAGAUUCUUCAUUUUUGGUCCUGUUUCAAAUUGGUCUACACUAAAGUCCAAAGGUCCAAAAUUAACUUAGUCUGAUUUUAACAAAAAUUUGAAAUCUUGGGUUCUUUGAUAUGCUGAAUCCAAAAAUGUACUUAGAUUUUUAUUAUGGGCCCAGUUUCAAGUUGGUCCAAAUCAGGAUCUAAAAUUAUUAUAUAAGUAUUGUGCAAUAGCAAGUCUUUUCAAUUGCACAGUAUUGCGCAAUGGCAAGAAAUAUCUAAUUGCACAAUAUUGUGAAAUAGCAAAUUUUUUUUUAAUUAGAGUUAUCUUUCUUGUCCAGAAUAGUAAGCAAGAAAUUCUAUUGCAAAUAUUGUGCAAUAGCAAGAUUUUUUUUAAUUGGAGUUAUCUUUCUUUGUCCAGAAUCAACUAAAUCUUUGUUAUAUACAAUAUACAAUGUAUAUUCACUUUUUACUACCAACUGAUAAAUUAAAAUAAUCUUUACCAUUCAGUGAUAACAAGCAGUUUUUUUACAUCUUGAUAUUUUAUGAUGUAUUUAAAUGAGUAGUUAUUGUUGCAAACUCCAUUAGAAAUUUUAAUGAGAUUAGUUUUGAAUAAGGGAAAGGGGAUGUGAUUAAAAAAUCGGGUUCAAUUUUUCUCAUUUGAAAUUCAUAAAUAAAAAAGAAAAUUUCUUCAAACAUUUUUUUGAGAGGAUUAAAUUCAACAGCAUAGUGAAUUGCUCUAAGGAAACAAAAAUUUUAAGUUCAUUAGAACACAUUCAUUCUGUGUCAGAAACCUAUGCUGUGUCAACUAUUUAAUCACAAUCCAAAUUUAGAGCUGAAUCCAGCUUGAAUGUUGUGUCCAUACUUGCCCCAACCGUUCAGGGUUCAACCUCUGCGGUCGUAUAAAGCUACGCCCUGCGGAGCAUCUGGUAAUAUUUUAUGAUGUAUUUAAAUGAGUAGUUAUUGUUUCAAACUCCAUUAGAAAUUUGAAGUGAGAUCAGUUUGGAAAAGGAAAGGGGUGUGAAAAAAAAGGGGAAGGGGGGUUAAAUUUUUCUCAUUUCAGAUUUCAUAAAUAAAAAGAAAAUUUCUUCAAACAUUUUUUUGAGAGGAUUAAUAUUCAACAGCAUAGUGAAUUGCUCAAAGGCAAAAAAAAAAAUUUAAAGUUCAUUAGAACACAUUCAUUCUGUGUCAGAAACCUAUGCUGUGUCAACUAUUUAAUCACAAUCCAAAUUUAGAGCUGUAUCCAGCUUGAAUGUUGUGUCCAUACUUGCCCAACUGUUCAGGGUUCAACCUCUGCAGUCGUAUAAAGCUGCACCCUGCAGAGCAUCUGGUUCAUAAUAAAAUAAUAGCAACCUGAGCAAUUUUUGUCUCCAUCAUAUUUCUGAAUUUUACUCAUAAGUGGACGGAUAGUUAUUUUGGAAGUCAACAUCAAUCACACUAUUACAUUUUACAGUAGAACCAUUUACUAUUUAUUUUUCAUUUCAAAUUAAUAAUUCUUUUAUUCAUGUUUGAAAUCUUUUGUUUACAGUUAGACAGUGCUACAUCUUUAAUCCAAGCAGCCAAGAACUUGAUGAAUACAGUGGUAUUAACAGUCAAAGCUGCCUAUGUUGCUUCUACUAAGGUAAACAAUACAAUCUAUAAAUUAAUAAGAUGCAUGAUUCCUGUAUAAUAUUCAUCCUAAAUAUUCAUGAGAUAUUUAAACACCAACAGUCAACCAUCCAAUUAAUUCUGAAUAUUAAUGUUAUAUAUAACAAUUGAAUUAAAACACAUACUGCAGAAUAUUCAUGAGAUAUUUUGUAUUGGAAAUUAAAGCACCAACAGUCAACCAACAAAUUAAUCCUGGUCUCUUGUGGAGAGUUUUAAAAUUUGCAAUCGUACCACAUCUUCUUAUUUUUGAUAAACACAAAAAAAAACAAGAAAACACGCCUGCAUGAGACUUUCCAUUACAUUUGUGAUUUAGGUGAUAUUAUUUAUACAUAUUUGUUUUCUUUCUAUUACAGUACAAGUUGCCUGGACAAAGGGUAGGUUUAUUUAUGUGUGUCUAUGUUGAAAUAUUUUUAUUCAGAGUUGUGUUGAACCUUAGGUUUUGAAGAAGCUAAAUCCCUAAGAAAGAUUCUUUUUAAAAAUUAUUAGUAAUAUGAAAAACGUUUUGUCUUCCAUGAAUGUCAUGAUCUGAUCCUGGUAUUGAUGACAAAUAAUUUUGUUUCUUAGAUUUUAGUCAGUCUGAAUUUGCAGAAAACAAACUGUGUUUGUUUAAAUUUUUAGGCUAAUACAACUUUGAGUUGUGCCCUUUGUUUAGGAAGAUUAUCUAAUUUCAGAUAAAAAAACUUCAAUUCCUGAGUGGAGUUUUUAUAGUAGUGUUAGUGGGAUCUAUUCCUUAGAUAUGAAUGCAUUCUUUAUUAAAUUUUAUUUUCUAAAAGAAAAAAGAGUGAUGCUCUUUUCUUUUUUCAACUCGAAAAGCAUGAUAGAUAGCUAUAAGUUUUUAUUACUGAAUCAAAUUACUGUAUUCUCAUAGAUGUGUCAUACAUGAUGAAUAAACUGGUCAUGUGUAUUUCAAAGCAUCACCUCACUUUUAACCACCAAAUUGGCAACAGCAUAGUGUAUUGCACAAAAUCCAAUAAUUGUAUGUAAAUUCAAAUCACAUAACUUAUUCUGAGUUCUUUGACUACAGUUAUAUUGUGUCAGAAACCUAUUAAGUGUCAAUUAUUUAAUUACAAUCCAAAUUCAGACCUGUAUCAAGCACGAAUAUUGUGUAUUGUAUCUAUUUUUGUCCCAACUGUUCAGGGUUGGACCUCUGCAAUUUAUAUAACUUAGUCAUAUGAAACGAGUGACUUGUGAAAAAUAAUCUUUAUCCAAUUCGUAAACCAAUGCAUGUAUAUUUUGAUAUACAUAUAUUCUGUGCAGGAUUUUUUCAUUUCUUGCGCAAAAAUAUCGUAUAAUCGUCAAUUUUUUUUUAGUCUAACUGUUAUGAGUGAAAAUAUGACAGCUCAUAAAUUGCUGUGGUUUGAAGCCGUAGUUAACUGAUUGUCGCCUUCUGGUAAACAAUCAACAAAGAAGCAUGGAAAUUUUUAAUGACAGAUCCAUGCGUAUUGCGAUCAUCGGAUUUCUACGAGAAGGGUCACACUUAGGUAGCGUGCAUACGAAAAAUAUUUUGGCAAAUUGCUUAUUUCCAAAAAGUAAACUUCUUCUAAAUGUGGACAAAUUAGAGAAUUUUCUUCAAAAAAAGUAUAUGUACAUAAGUUUUAUAAUGAAAACUAUCUAUUUAAUUAUAAAAAACAUAUGCAUCAUUUUUUUUUUAUUUGAGGUUUCAUAUAACUUAACUUUGUUAAUUACAGAAUGUUGUGAUGUGGAAAAUGAAAGCUCCUGAAAAGAAACCAUUAGUAAGGAAAGAAGAUGCUAAAGACUUAAGAUCUCAGAUCAAAAAGAGUGCCAUUAAAAAGAAUGUAGAACCAGUGAAAGCACUUAGUGAAUUCCAGGAAAUAGAUACUAGUAGUUUCUGUUGAGAAAAUUGUUUUAUGUGUAUUUAUCUUUACAGAUAUUGUUUAUGGACUACACAAAUGUAAAUGUUCUAUAUUGACAUGACAGAAAAUAUGUGGUUGUCCGUCCUGAAAGGCACCAAAAACAGGUGUAUGUUAAUAUAUGUUCUUAGUUUUGUAACUGUAAAAAAUAAGAUCCCAAGUUGGAACAAAUAAAUUUUAUAUUUAUUACAUGUGUAGGAGAAAUUAUUAGCAUUCAAAAUAUUGGGUACCUUUUAUUAUUUGACAGAGAGGAGAUAGAAUUAAUAGAAGGUGCCAUUUUACAUUCAAACCUUUCACAUUAUUUAAGGACCAAAAUAAGUCAUUUUAAUUGUUAUUUAAAAUAUACAUUGUUUACUUGGAAGAUCUUUUUAUAACACAGACUUUUAUAUACAGUAACAUUUUGAGGAAGAAUUCUAUAUUAUGGUUGUGAUGUAAAAUAUUAAAAAUGGCAUAGGAAAGAAUUCAUUCACAAAUAUAAAAUGUUGAAAAUGAUGCAGAGUUUGAAACUAAAUGGUGAUUGAUGUAGACAAAUAUCAUUGAAGGGUUUCACAUCAGAAGUAUUUGAAUGAACUACAAUAGAACUUGAUUUAUUUAUAUACAUGAAGACAAGUCAGCAUUAAAGCAUACUUUCAAAAAAUAUGUAACACAUAUUAACCCAUAUUGGUAUCAAUGUCAUACAAAUAUCAGUUCUGUAAAAUCAACCAUCUACAUCCUUGUUUAAUCAUCAAUGGGGAUUUAUCAUUUUUGUAACAGAAUCUCAUAUAGUUGUCUGUUUAUUUACAUACAUGUAGUUUGACUGUGUUGUGGAACUAAACACAUAUCAUUUUAUUGUGCUACUUAAAUUUUUAAUAACUUCUAAUUAUUUUACUAGAUUUUUAUUGAUCACAUUUUUCAUUUCAUUAUUUUAUUUAAACACAUGUUUGUUUAGAAAAUUCAGGCAGUGUUUUGAUAAGUUUGGCUGUUCGAAAAUUUACAUAAAUGUUUCUCAAAAGUAUAGAAAAUAAAAAAUAUAUAAAAAGUUAAAAUUUAUUAACACCAUUUAUGAUAACAUUUAUUUAAUUAAACACAUUGUUGGUAUUUACAGAGUUAUUUCCCCUUAUAUCUAGUUAAGUUUUUCAUUUAGAUUUCUCUCAUUAUAUUUUUCAUAGUUUUAUUAGUUGAAUAAUUAAAAAAUCAAAAUCUGUAUUUUGCUAAGCUUUAAGGAAAGGUAGAGGGCAAAAGACACAAAUAUUUAAUUUUGAUUGAAGAUUAGUCUUGCUCUUUUAUGUACAAUGGAAUUAUUAUUUCAUAAACUUUGAGAUGCUCAUUUUUGAGCAAGUUAUUGUUACAACAGUCUUAUUUCCAAAAUAUAUCCAUAUCUAUGUGGAAAUUUAAUAUCUAAAUUUCAUUAAUUUAAUUGAUUUUUAUUACCUGAAAUAUUGAGGCAGAAAUAAUAAACCAAUUUAUAAAGUUAACAUACGAUAAAACAAAACACAAAUUUUCUAAUGUAGUGUAUGCAGUGAUAUUCAGUAAAAUAAUUAAACAGCUAAAAGAAAAUUAUUUUGACAAAGUUUAAUUUUGCUGGUUGUAGAGAGAUUGUUUAUUUAUUUUAAAUAAUGGUUGUGAGAAUUUUUUAUGUUGUAUUUUUUUUUAUAGUGUACAUUUACAAUUAUUUUUCAACAUGCAUACUUUAGUCAUUAUCAGAAAUAGAAGCUACUUUAUACAUCUGAAUUACAUGGACUUCAUUAAAAAAGAUUUUCAUACUAAAUAUUUUAUUGUUGUUAUGUAAAGGAUAUUGUGUUGAAUGCAAACUUGUGAAAAUGAAAAAAAAAUGUGGUUGCAAUAUUGCCAAUGAGACAACUAUACAUAGAUAUAAGAAGAUUGGUAUAAGUGCCAAUGAGACAACUCUCCAUCCAAGUCUUUGCAUCGGAACUAAACACAUUUAUUUGAAAAACAGUUGUUGGCAUGACACCGGUUAUGUUCUUCUCAUAUAUUUUAUGAUAGUAUGAUACUAAACCCCUAACGGGAGGGAUUGUACCUGAUAUUCAUAUGAUGAAGACAUAAUCUUUCAAUCAGUUUAUUUGAGGUCUGGAGCUGGCAUGUCAGUUAACUGCUAGUAGUCUG
rnacentral:lncRNA from 1 species